rnacentral:rRNA from 1 species
CGGGUAACGCUGGGCCGUGAGGGUGGGGAAUGCGGAUGGUGGAAGGGUUAAUCGGAAGUAGUGGGCGUAAAGCGUGUGCAGGUGGGUUUGUAAGACAGGUGUGAAAUCCCCGGGCUGAACCUGGGAACUGCAUUUGUGACUGCAAGGCUGGAGUGCGGCAGAGGGGGAUGGAAUUCCGCGUGUAGCAGUGAAAUGCGUAGAUAUGCGGAGGAACACCGAUGGCGAAGGCAAUCCCCUGGGCCUGCACUGACGCUCAUGCACGAAAGCGUGGGGAGCAAACAGGAUUAGAUACCCCUGUAC